CCUAGCGUAUCCUGGGCUAGACAGUAGAUACGGUGGCUAGCAGUGGUAGUGUUAGCAGCAGACUGCCUCGGUACCUGUAGCUAGCUGACUACCCCCGAGAGCUUCCCCAGAGAGACUGAGAGAGACAUUCACCCGGUCACACCGGAGCCAGAGUACAGAGAGAGAGAGAGACACGCAGCCCGGAGAGCAGCCUUCCAUCUCCCGCCCCGCCUAGAGCUCAGCCGCCCUGUUCCAUCACCAGCCCUGGUCCCAAGGUAUGUCAUCAGGACCAACUGCCUUUCCACUCUUCAUGUUGUGGUUACACCGCCCCGAGCUGCCUCCCCGGCACGUUCAAGCCACUCCCCCAGCUCGGACGUGCCGGAAACAUCCGAGCGCUCGGCUCGCGCCCUGAGGAGACGAGCGCUGCACUGCACCAGGUGUUUGCCAUCAUCCAUCAGGCACACCUGUGGCAAUCAGGCAGCCUUCUACAAGAAGCCUCCCAGAACGUCUCUCUGUGCUUCGACGUACUGAAUCCUGCGACUCUCCCUCCGCGAUUUCCACGGCUCCCCGCGUCUUCCCUCGUCCCCAGCGACCUUCACGUUUCUCCCCGGACCUCUCCUGCGAUCCCCCCCCUUGUCCCUCUAUCUGGACCCCUCCUUUCGGACUCGACUUCCCGGAUCUCGGACCUGGACUUUCUCGGACAACCCCUCUUGGAUCACGGACUGGACUUUAUCGCCAGGUGCACGCACAUUUUUUCAACACCUCCUGGUCAUUUACAUACCGCACCACACAUAGGCUAAAAACACUCACACAUAGUUAUUCACGCAAACCACGGGACACCACACAUAGUUUAUUCACACAUCACAC